rnacentral:ribozyme from 1 species
UUCGCGACGAUUUUGAGCGAGGAAAUUCAACCCGUGUCUCUCAAGGCGCAGAAGAAAAUUGAAAUUCCCGAGAGCUUGGGCGCCGAAGAACCGAUGAGCGCCGAGUGGGAUUACCUCCUCUUCAGCAGCGAUGAUGAAGAUGAAGAUUAUGAGGUUGGCAAA